CCCCUCUCAGGGCCACACCUGGAGAGUGUCCAGUGUUCUACCAGUCACGACUUCAGGAGGGAGAGUCAAGCAGAGGCCUACCCAUUCCAUUCCUAGCUUGGGCAGUGGCUAGUGAGUGGAAAGCAAUCUGCUACAGGU